UUAAAUAGGGAUAUACAAAAUAAGUUAUAAAACAAAUCAAAGUGUGCUUACUUAAUUAAUUUCAAACUUCUUAUCAUUUAGAAAUUCAGAGGGUAUUAGACAGGCGAUCGAUUUAGCAAAGUAGAGAGUAUACCAAUAAGUGCAAGAGUGUUUUUAUGCCAAAAGAUACAAAUCGGUUUCCAAUUGUAGUAAAUUUAGUUCAACCUUACAGUUUCCAAUUGCAGGAUGGUAAUACUUAUUGAAUGAUUCGUCUAGUAACUAAUGAGUUGAAUUUUGGAGGGGGGGGGGUUAAUUAAUUUUUAUUGCUAAGCACGAGUGGAAGUCUUUUGAAUUAUUUGAGCACGCGAGUGCAAAAUUUUCAAAAUCUUAGUGCGAACACCGAACACACUGUUGCCCUACGAGCGGGAGCGCAAACUUGAUGAGAGCGCAUUGCAUUAUCAAUUCGAUUCAAUUCAUAUUAUUUUUCCCCGAACAAGUCAGAUUUGCAAAAUAUUCUUUGCAAAAGUUUGGAAAAUCAUUUGAUGCACACGAUUAUUAUUUUAUUUUUCCACAUUGCUAUAAAAUCAUUGUUUACUUUCAAUUUUUGAGCAAUAUUUUAUUUAAAAAUAAAAUGAUAUUUAUCCUAUCAUGCGUACGCAGCUAGCCGAAUAUUGUACUCUUUUGUAAUCUGGCUCUACACAUAUGAAAGAUGUUUUUUAAGCGCAGAAGCGAGUAAUCAGAGCAAUACUGGUGUCCAAUAUUGGCGAAGUAAUGCGGCACUUGACUCAUGUAGACCACUAUUUGUGAAAUUUGGAGUUCUUACAGUCUAUUCAUUAUAUAUUUUGAAGUGCGUUAAGUUUGUGCGUAAAUUUCCUGAAAAGUUUAAAAUGAAUCGUGAUGUUCCAGGUGUUGUAGUGCGAACUACGCGUGCUACCAGCUAUGUAGAAACAGAUUUAUUUGUAAGGCCAAGCUCACUAAAUUGCGUAAAUGAAAAUCCGGAGAUAAUGAUUGCCAGAAUAUACAACAAAUUACCUAAUGUACUGAAAGAAAUAUCUGACUAUGGCAACUUUUUGUUAAAAGUGUCAAAUAUGUAAUGCCGAAAUAUCAAUUUUAUGAUAUGAACGAAUAUUGGAGAUGUAAUUUUAAGCUCUUAGAAUUAACACAGUGAACUGAGCUACAGGGUUUUCGGGGGUGGUUUUCCCCUGUAGUAAACGAGGAGGGGUAGUAAAGGAGGAGAGUUGGAGUUGAGCAGCCGCAGCGAGUGGACGUGCCGGCACACCGCUCGCGCGGCAGAAAAAAGUAGCGAACGUUUCGCUGCUUUCCUGCAAUUUUGGUGCACAAUUUGGACAUUGUCUCGUGACUGCCUGAAUAGUGUGACUUCUGUGGCCCGAUAUUUUUGGAAGCAAUCAAGAUUUUCUAAAGGUCAGUGAAGAUGGACGCCAAGAAAUGUAUCAGGUCUGCCUCGCAGGGACUGGCUGUUUCUCAAGAGAGCGAGCUCGCCCAGCUUCUUGCAACACAGGGUGAAGUCAGAGAUUUAUUGAACGAAAUUCUCAAAUUUUUGAAACUGAGUGACACGUCCGACGCUUCGGUGCAAAAAUUAUCUGCUGCAAUCGAACACAGCGUCAGCAAAUUUGCGCGACCCAGUUCAGCGGCAGGUGCAAGCGGAUGCGUGCCAGUCAAAACAAACAGCGUCAACAAAAAUGCAGCGACUCAAAAGACGAAGCGAAACAUCGUGAAAAUGAAUGACAACAAGGAGAACGGCAAACAACUGCGCGCGGUAGCGAAAAACGGUGAGCAGCCGAAAUCUGCUGACCAUCUCGGACACACAGCUCCUGCGGCUGAGAGAAAAGAUUGGACCGAUGAAGACAGGGCCAUGCUUAGGGACUUCAGAAGAAUAAUUCGGCAGAGGAGAUCUCCUGAGUACCAAGGCAAGGUUAAGUUUGAGUAUAAAUGUAUGGACAUCGCUGAAGCGGAAGAGGAUGUUGUCGCCCACCUAGUCGGAGCUAACCUGAAAAAUACCAAGGGUGCGGCGAAGGCCUUGAUUGACAAGUUUGGCGCCAUCAACGCGCCGGGCUCAAAUAUUCGCAUCGGCAGUAUCGUCAUGCAAAGCAUAGAGGGGGAUCGAGCGAUUUGGCACGUUGCAUCCAAAGAGAGAACAGGUGACAAGAAGCACAAAAACCCGGGAAGGUUUUACAGAAAUGAGGUGGCUGCUCUUACUGCUUUGCAUGACAAAAUGAGGGAACAAAAACUUCAGAAAAUUGCCAUAACUAAAUUGGGAGCUGGAUUGGAUGGCAUUCCAUGGAAAUUCACAAAACAAAAGCUGAGAGAGAUCUUCGCAGAUGAUGACGUUACUCUGGUAGUGCACUACCUUCCUCGGAGGGAAGAGUUGCAGCGCGCCCCUUCAUCUCCGACAAACAGGACCUGGAGAACUGCUGGGUCGUGGACGCACAAGUCGAAGAGCUUUGUCGUAGGUAAAGCAACAAAGAAGCAAAGGACACUGCCCGUUUCGGAUAUGCUUGAGAGCGGCUCUUCGUCUAAUGCAACACUGGGAGGUGACGAGGAAACGCUGCUCGAUCGCCUAAACGUCACUUUGAGUAGUAUGAGAUCGGAAAUACAGCAGACCCGACAGAGCAUCGAGGAGCCGGCUACUGAGCGUUGUUCGUCACCAGGAAUCUCGACAUUCGUCCCUGAGGAUAAUAAGCAAAUAAACUCACAAACAUGUUCUUUUGUUUCAGCUGCGCUGCCGUGCCACUUAAUCAGCAGCGAUCAACAUGUGGCAAGGCCCGCAGCUUUCCCCGGGCAAGGCAGUGCCCCAUCAGAAUCUGCCAAAGUCACAGCAGGAACAGGUGGACAAGCUAGGUGCACACCGGAGACCUGUAAAAAAGCUGGGGUGCCCUCCCGUGCGCCUAGCCCCACCUCAUCGCCAGCUAAUAAAGGUGAUAAAAAUUUAAAUCAGACUACCAAUCCUGAUGAGGUACGCACUUGCAGUCUGGAGCCCAAUAAGCUACCUGGUGGGGCUGUGUCACAGACGAGAGGGACUGGAUGGAGGGACGCUCAUGACCGUAAACUGACUGCAUUCUUUGCUAACCUCGAGCGUGAAAGCGCAUUGCUUCGGGAAGGCUCUGUCGGUGGGGGUAGCCUACCCCCGCUGCCCCUACCUGUUUUAUCUCAAAAUCCCCCCCGACAACCUUCCACUGUUAUGGUGAGUGGAACUGAGAGAAGUCUUGCAAAGGAGGUCCUAAUUUCUUCUUCGCCCGAGCACCCAGUCUUAAUUGCGGCCCCAGAGGCACCAGAAACAGUCGACCUGACAAGUUUCAUGAAUGACCAGAUGGCCGGAGUGAGACGCAGCAUCGAUGCGUUGACUGAACAAUUACGGCCAGGUUCUCAGUGCCCAAAAUGAUAAAACUAUCAGAAAGUCAGAAUAUGACGUGAAAAAGCCAACAAAGAUAAUCAUCCACGGGUUCAUUGAUACUACUCUCAGCAAUUGGGUCAAGGAGAUGCGCCGAGAGUUGUUGAAAAGGGGUGACUGGAACAUAAUCACAGUGGACUGGGCAGGCGGAUCAUUGCCUUUGUACACACAGGCCACGGCCAACACAAGACUGGUUGGCCUCGAACUGGCAUACUUUAUCAACCAU